GACGAACGCUGGCGGCGUGCCUAACACAUGCAAGUCGAACGGAAGUAAGAGCUUCGGUUUUACUUUAGUGGCGAACGGGUGAGUAACGCGUGAGGAACCUGCCUUUCAGUGGGGGACAACAGUUGGAAACGACUGCUAAUACCGCAUAAUGUUUCCGAUCCGCAUGGAUUGGAAACCAAAGCUUUAUGUGCUGAAAGAUGGCCUCGCGUCUGAUUAGAUAGUUGGUAAGGUAACGGCUUACCAAGGCAAUGAUGCAUAGCCGAGUUGAGAGACUGAUCGGCCACAUUGGGACUGAGACACGGCCCAA
rnacentral:rRNA from 1 species